AGGGAUUGGUGGACGUUUGUUAUGACUCCAUCAGCACCU
rnacentral:misc_RNA from 1 species